rnacentral:rRNA from 1 species
UACGGAGGGUGCGAGCGUUGUCCGGAAUCACUGGGCGUAAAGGGCGCGUAGGCGGCGCGGGCAGUCAACGGUGAAAGCUCGGGGCUCAACUCCGAGUCGGCCGUCGAUACUCCCGCGCUCGAGCACUGUAGAGGCAGGUGGAAUUCCGGGUGUAGCGGUGGAAUGCGUAGAGAUCCGGAAGAACACCGGAGGCGAAGGCGGCUCACUGGGCCGGAUCCGACACUGAGGCGCGAAAGCGUGGGGAGCAAACAGG